UUCGUGGAUUUUCUAUUAGGU
ensembl:piRNA 21ur-3945 ncRNA